GGAUAAAAUGGCUGAAGUUUAAGCAUGGAAUUGUAAAUUCUUUUAUGAUGUGUAUCUUUUAUC
rnacentral:tRNA from 1 species